ACCCGGCCAUAGUGGGUGCCAUCCCAAAUAUUGAGCAACACUAGCCACCGGGCAUAAGGGAGACCCUGGGAAAGCAUACAGCACGACAUCUGUACCUCGACCCCGAAUAUCCAUUUUGGACUGGUGGAGAUGUACCACAACCCAAUCCGAUGCCCACCAAAAGUCCGAAACCUGAACACCAGCACAGCCAAGCAGCUUUGAGCUGUCCAGUUUCCCAAUCUGAAACAACCCGAAGAAAGACAAGAGGAAUGCCAC